GUGUCAGCCGCCGCGGUAAUACGUAGGGGGCGAGCGUUAUCCGGAAUUACUGGGUGUAAAGGGUACGUAGGCGGCCGUGUAAGUCAGGUGUGAAAGGCUAGGGCUCAACCCUAGUGAGCACUUGAAACUGCAUGGCUUGAGUCGAGGAGAGGAAAGUGGAAUUCCUGGUGUAGCGGUGAAAUGCGUGGAUAUCAGGAGGAAUACCAGUGGCGAAGGCGACUUUCUGGCCUUAGACUGACGCUGAGGUACGAAAGCGUGGGGAGCAAACAGGAUUAGAUACCCUGGUAGUCCACGCCGUAAACGAUGAGUGCUAGGUGUCGGGACAUAAGUUUCGGUGCCGAAGUUAACACAUUAAGCACUCCGCCUGGGGAGUACGGUCGCAAGACUGAAACUCAAAGAAAUUGACGG
rnacentral:rRNA from 1 species